GUCUACAGCCAUACCACCCUGAAUGCACCCAAUCUUGUCUGAUCUCAGAAGCUAAGCAGGGUCGGGCCUGGUUAGUACUUGGAUGGGAGAAAUCAGGUAUACUGUUGAGA
rnacentral:rRNA from 1 species